rnacentral:SRP_RNA from 11 species
GGCGCCGCAGCGCGGGCUACUCAACCGCGCCAGGGCCGG